GAAAUGAUUGGGUGUAAAGUGUCUAUAGGUGGCUUUUUAAGUCCGCCAUCAAAUCGCAAGGCUCAACCCUGGACAGGUAGUGGAAAAUACCAAGUUGGAGUAUAGUAGGGGUAGAGAGAAUUUCCGGUGGAGUGGUGAAAUGCGUAGAGAUAAGAAAAAACAACAUCGGCAAAAGCACUUUGUUGAGCCAACAUUGACACUGAGAGGCAAAAGUUAGGGAAGCCAAUGGGAUUAGAUACCCUAGUAGUCCUAACUGUAAAUGAUGGAUACUAAGUGCUGUGCAUAUCAAUCCGUGCAGUGUUGUAGCUAACACAUGAAGUAUCCUGUA
rnacentral:ncRNA from 1 species